AGGGUUCGAUUCUGGCUCAGGAUGAACGCUGGCGGCGUGCCUAACACAUGCAAGUCGAACGGUUAGGCCACCUUCGGGUGGGCAUACAGUGGCGAACGGGUGAGUAACACGUGACCAACCUGCCCCUUGCUCCGGGACAACCUCGGGAAACCGAGGCUAAUACCGGAUGCUCCGGCCCCUCCGCAUGGAGGGGCCGGGAAAGCCUGGCGCGGCAAGGGAUGGGGUCGCGGCCCAUCAGGUAGACGGCGGGGUAGCGGCCCACCGUGCUUUCGACGGGUAGCCGGGUUGAGAGACCGACCGGCCACAUUGGGACUGAGAUACGGCCCAG
rnacentral:rRNA from 1 species